GACGAACGCUGGCGGCGUGCCUAAUACAUGCAAGUAGAACGCUGAAGGAGGAGCUUGCUUCUCUGGAUGAGUUGCGAACGGGUGAGUAACGCGUAGGUAACCUGCCUGGUAGCGGGGGAUAACUAUUGGAAACGUUAGCUAAUACCGCAUAAUAGUAGAUGUUGCAUGACAUUUGCUUAAAAGGUGCACUUGCAUCACUACCAGAUGGACCUGCGUUGUAUUAGCUAGUGGGUGGGGUAACGGCUCACCAAGGCGACGAUACAUAGCCGACCUGAGAGGGUGAUAUGCCACACUGGGACUGAGACACGGCCCAGAGUCCUACGGGAGGCAGCAGUAGGGGAUCUUUGGCAAUGGAAGGAAGUCUGACCGAGCGACGCCGCGUGAGUGAAGAAGGGUUUCGGAUCGUAAAGCUCGGUUGUAAGAGAAGAACGAGUGUGAGAGUGGAAAGUUCACACUGUGACGGUAUCUUAACAGAAAGGGACGGCUAACUACGUG
rnacentral:rRNA from 1 species